rnacentral:ncRNA from 1 species
AAUGUUAGGAAAUCUGGAGAUGUCAUCGGGGGCCUAGGAAGAGUUAUCUUUUCUUUUUAAUGACUUUCCCACCCUAAAAUCGGUUCAACUGAAGAUAGGGUCCAACAUCUAGAAGAGCACCACAUGUCUUGUUGUGUUUGGUGCCUCCUCGAUGACCAUUGAAAAUAUGGAGAACCGAGUACCAUCCAUGCCUGAUCGUACUCAUAUCUGCCUUCUUG